rnacentral:lncRNA from 1 species
AGUGCCAGGAGCCAGCCCCAAACAAGAGCUCAUGUGACCAGUCUUCCUAAGUAGAGGCUUCCAAAGGUGAUGAAACAACUGGAUUCAACUACUGUGUAAUCAACUGUGGUCAGGUAAAGGUUUUUUAGUAUGAGAGCCUGAGAAUAAUAAAGGUGCAUUGGGAAGUGGU